GACGAACGCUGGCGGCGUGCUUAACACAUGCAAGUCGAACGAUGAAGCUGGAGCUUGCUCCGGUGGAUUAGUGGCGAACGGGUGAGUAACACGUGAGCAAUCUGCCCUUGACUCUGGGAUAACUGCGGGAGACUGUAGCUAAUACCGGAUACGAGGCUCGAAGGCAUCUUCGGGUCUGGAAAGAAUUUCGGUCAAGGAUGAGCUCGCGGCCUAUCAGCUUGUUGGUGAGGUAAUGGCUCACCAAGGCGACGACGGGUAGCCGGCCUGAGAGGGGGACCGGCCACACUGGGACUGAGACACGGCCCAGACUCCUACGGGAGGCAGCAGUGGGGAAUAUUGCACAAUGGGCGAAAGCCUGAUGCAGCAACGCCGCGUGAGGGAUGAAGGCCUUCGGGUUGUAAACCUCUUUUAGCAGGGAAGAAGCGAAAGUGACGGUACCUGCAGAAAAAGCACCGGCUAACUACGUGCCAGCCGCCGCGGUAA
rnacentral:rRNA from 1 species